rnacentral:rRNA from 1 species
UACGUAGGGGCUAGCGUUAUCCGGAUUUAUUGGGUUUAAAGGGUGCGCAGGUUGUUUGAUAAGUCAGUGGUGAAAGUCUGUCGCUUAACGGUAGGAUUGCCAUUGAUACUGUUAGACUUGAAUAUGGAUGAGGUAGGCGGAAUGUGUAGUGUAGCGGUGAAAUGCAUAGAUAUUACACAGAACACCGAUUGCGAAGGCAGCUUACUAAUCCAUCAUUGACGCUGAGGCACGAAAGCGUGGGGAUCAAACAGGAUUA